CGGGGGGAGCAAGCGUUGUUCGGAUUUACUGGGCGUAAAGGGCGCGUAGGCGGCCUCUGCAAGUCGACUGUGAAAUCUCCGGGCUUAACCCGGAAAGGUCAGCCGAUACUGCAGGGCUAGAGUGCAGAAGGGGCAACUGGAAUUCUCGGUGUAGCGGUGAAAUGCGUAGAUAUCGAGAGGAACACCUGCGGCGAAGGCGGGUUGCUGGGCUGACACUGACGCUGAAGCGCGAAAGCUAGGGGAGCGAACGGGAUUAGAUACCCCGGUAGUCCUAGCCUUAAACGAUGAAUGCUUGGUGUCUGGGGUUUUAUAGUCCCCGGGUGCCGUCGCUAACGCUUUAAGCAUUCCGCCAGGGGAGUACGGCCGCAAGGCUA
rnacentral:rRNA from 1 species